CCUACGGGUGGCAGCAGUGGGGAAUAUUGGACAAUGGGCGAAAGCCUGAUCCAGCCAUGCCGCGUGUGUGAAGAAGGCCUUCGGGUUGUAAAGCACUUUCAGUGGGGAAGAAAGCCUUGGGGCUAAUACCCUCGAGGAAGGACAUCACCCACAUAAGAAGCACCGGCUAACUCCGUGCCAGCAGCCGCGGUAAUACGGAGGGUGCGAGCGUUAAUCGGAAUUACUGGGCGUAAAGCGCGCGUAGGCGGUCUGAUAAGCCGGUUGUGAAAGCCCCGGGCUCAACCUGGGAACGGCAUCCGGAACUGUCAGGCUAGAGUGCAGGAGAGGAAGGUAGAAUUCCCGGUGUAGCGGUGAAAUGCGUAGAGAUCGGGAGGAAUACCAGUGGCGAAGGCGGCCUUCUGGACUGACACUGACGCUGAGGUGCGAAAGCGUGGGUAGCAAACAGGAUUAGAUACCCUAGUAGUC
rnacentral:rRNA from 1 species